GGAAAGAUAGCAAAGUUGGUAAACGCAGCGGACUGUAAAUCCGCUCCCAUUGGGUUCGGGGGUUCGAGUCCCUCUCUUUCCA
rnacentral:tRNA from 1 species